GAAAUAAUGAAAGAAUUCUCUAAAUCUCUAUUUAUAAUUGCUUUUCAAGCUACUGUGAUAUAACUUCUGCUCCUCAGACAACUGGGAUGGAAGCGAGGAAACAAAGGUUCAAGUCAUCUCAGUGAAAAGAUCCAGAUGAUACAGAUGUUCUUUCUUUGUUAGUAGCAGUGAAGCAAAAUGGAACUUCAUAGCUUCUAUUACCUCUUGGACUAAAAUUUAAUUGUGAAUCAUCAGUUUCCUCCUGUGAUUUCCAUAAGAAUAUAAGACCCAAAGGAUUUGCUUUCCACUGCAUCAGUUGCAAGACAUUAGUUUGUCGAUGUUUGUACUAAGCUUUAAAAUAUAACUGCCAACUAAUUUAAUGUAUGAAUCCAUUAGAAAUAAUAAUAUUUGAGAAACAGUUUAAUGUAAAUGUUAUCUCUUGAUUUUUACCUUAAUCUAAAGAAUGUUAAAUAUGCAAAUCAUAUAUUUUCG
rnacentral:lncRNA from 1 species